rnacentral:rRNA from 1 species
AUUGAACGCUGGCGGCAGGCCUAACACAUGCAAGUCGAGCGGAGCGGCGGACGGGGGAGUAAUGCCUAGGAAUCGGACUGGUCGUGGGGGAUAAGGUCAGGAAACGGGCGCUAAUACCGCAUACUCUCGGAUGCGCCUAGGUCGGAUUAGCUAGUGGGUGGGGUAAGGGCAAACCAAGGCGACGAUCCGUAACUGGUCUGAGAGGAUGAUCAGUCACACUGGAACUGAGACACGGUCCAGACUCCUACGGGAGGCAGCAGUGGGGAAUAUUGGACAAUGGGCGAAAGCCUGAUCCAGCCAUGCCGCGUGUGUGAAGAAGGUCUUCGGAUUGUAAAGCACUUUAAGUUGGGAGGCGUUACCAACAGAAGAAGCACCGGCUAACUCCGUGCCAGCAGCCGCGGUAAUAC